rnacentral:rRNA from 1 species
CCUACGGGAGGCAGCAGUGGGGAAUUUUGGACAAUGGGCGAAAGCCUGAUCCAGCAAUGCCGCGUGAGUGAAGAAGGCCUUCGGGUUGUAAAGCUCUUUUGUCAGGGAAGAAACGGUGGGAGCUAAUAUCUCCUGCUAAUGACGGUACCUGAAGAAUAAGCACCGGCUAACUACGUGCCAGCAGCCGCGGUAAUACGUAGGGUGCAAGCGUUAAUCGGAAUUACUGGGCGUAAAGCGUGCGCAGGCGGUUUUGUAAGUCUGAUGUGAAAUCCCCGGGCUCAACCUGGGAAUUGCAUUGGAGACUGCAAGGCUAGAAUCUGGCAGAGGGGGGUAGAAUUCCACGUGUAGCAGUGAAAUGCGUAGAUAUGUGGAGGAACACCGAUGGCGAAGGCAGCCCCCUGGGUCAAAGAUUGACGCUCAUGCACGAAAGCGUGGGGAGCAAACAGGAUUAGAUACCCUGGUAGUCCACGCCCUAAAACGAUGUCUACUAGUUGUCGGGUCUUAAAUUGACCUUGGUAACGCAGCUAAACGCGUGAAGUAGACCGCCUUGGGGGUAGGUAGGUUCGCGAGAAGUUAAAACUUAACAAAUUAGAAGUUAGUUACGGCGNGAGACGAGCCGACGGACGACGACCGAACGGGGAAGGAGGGAGG